rnacentral:lncRNA from 1 species
AGCAGCAGCAGCAGUAGCAGCAGUAGUAGUAGUAGUAGCAGCAGCAGCAGCAGCAGUAGUAGUAGUAGCAGCAGCAGCAGCAUUGGUUGUAGUAGUAGCAGCAUUGGUAGUAGUAGUAAUAGUAAUAGUAGUAGUAGCAGCAGCAGUAGGAAGAGGACGACGACGACAACGAGGAGGACAAGGAUGAGGGGAAGUAAAGCAAACUAUUUCCCAGAAUACAGAAACAAAAUUAAUUCAAUGAGUAGAACCCGUGUACCGUGAGAGGAUCACAAAAACCAAAUAUAACAAUGCAGUAACCGUCUGUUUGCUGUCACUAUAGAAUGGGCAAACCUCACGUCCCACAUACACAUAAAAACUCUACUCAUUAUGCAUUUCUCCUUACCAGAAAACUGUACCACUUUGCAUUAUUAUUUAUCAUAAAGCAACCCUUAAUAACUUACUGCAAGAAAAAGGAAGCAAAUAUCUUCUUAUCGACAACAAACCACAAUUGUGUAAGACGUGGAAAAAAUUUACAAAUGCGCAGUUGUCAACUUCAUGAGACGAAUACACGCAUAGGGUACACAAGCUAACACACAACCUCACAGGUUUAUCAUGCACUUACAAUAAGAAGCAUGAAAGAAUACGGUGUUAUCGCUUUAUUCCCUCCUCUCUUCUCAUUUAAUACACCCAUGAAAACAGAGUAACUGUUAUGAUAUCAAUUGAAAUAGCCAAACAUAAUCCUAAACAUAAAAUACAACAGAAUAUGAUAACAAGCUAAUGCCUGACUUCAAUAGUCGAAAAUUUUAAUAUCCGGUAUCAAUGAAAAUCAAGAGAGCCAACACAACAAUUCUGCGCUUCUGUUGCUUUUGAAGAAAAAAAUAAUCAAUGCUAAUCUGGCUUUCUAGCAAGCUUCAUCCAUAUGAUAUUGCUGACUCUCAAAAGUUAUUAGGAACCUUAUGAAAUAAAUAUGCCAAGUAAUAGAAGCUCAUUAAAAAGAAAAAGUAACCAAUAUGGGAAAGGUAUGCAAAAAACGUUUAUUACAAUCACAUCAGUUGUCUUUAACAUAUAUAAUAUAUAUAUACAGUCACACAUAUGUAUUUAUGUAUGUAUGUAUUGUUAGGAACUUAAAAACGAUAAAAACUUUUUAUCGGAUAAUGUUAAGUUAAACAUUUAAACGGACAGUUUUUGGUGCUUCACUGUAAGGUCAGCAUAUGAAUUCCAUUGACAAAAUGGGGGAAGCUAGGUGUUAUUAACAAAAACUGUGAAACUAUAAAAAAUUGGCGAGACCUUGGCAAACCUUGAUAAGCAGAGAUAAUUGUACCCACCACCACCACCACCACCAGUUUUUGGUGACAGUUUUUUUUUCUUUCUGUGAAACAAAGUUGUUCAAUUGGAUUCUGGAAGUUAUGGUUGCCUGUUCGUUUUAUGCCCUUUGUGUUAGGCAUUUAUGGAUUUAUUUUAUGCUCCAGGAAUUCGCCAGAACUUUUGCCGGAUUUAAAAUAAUUUGUGUGUCACAUCUGGGUGAGUACAAAAAUUUAUUGAGUUAUGUUGUUAUAAUAUUUAUGUGAAUUUGUAACCCUGCAUUUUGUGACAGGUUGAGUAGUAAUUUUGCUAGCUAUUUUCUGUUAGGAUAAAUGUUAAAAUUUGUAUGAAUAGCUAAAGGGUGUAUGAAUUUAAUUUUUUUAUGCAGCCAAAUUUUUAUAUUCGACAGCUGUAAAUUUUGUCUAAUUGUUACUCAGCAGGCUUGUAUGAAGCAGUUUUGUGUGAAUUUAAAGAAAACGAGUUUUUUUUUAUUUAAUUUUUUUUUAUUAUGAUUAUUGAUGUAGUCUGGCAGCCGUUUUGUGUCAUGAACUUUUACUUUAAAUGGUUGCUUUGACAUUAGAUUUAUUUAUGUUUAGGUCCAAGGUUCGAAUUGCAAGGUUGAACACCGAAUUUGUGAAGACAAAUUUUAUGACAUUCGAAGGUUCGAAUUCCAAGGUUGGACACCGAAUUUGUGAAGACAGAUUUUUAUGACAUUCCAAAGUUGAAAACCGAAUUUGUGAAGACAAAUUUUAUGACAUUCCAAGAUUCGAAUUUCAAGGUUCGAAAACCGAAUUUGUACUAAAAUGGAAAUCCACAUUUUUGGAAUCCAUCCUUUUGAAAAACUAAAUUUGUGAGGCCAAUUUUGGUGAAACCAAAAAUUGUGAAUGCAGAGUUAUAGAUUCAAGUUUGUGAAAGCCGGGAUUCUGAGUUCGAAUUUCUGAACUGUAUAUAUGUUACAUUUGUAAAUAUUUUAACCGCACGUCUGGUGUGGCAUUGGUUUUUUUUAUCAUUUAUAUAUGUUUUGUAUGUAGGCUGUUUUUUUUUUCAUGCUGACAAUUGUUAAUAUUUUACAAAAAGUUUGUGUUUUGGGGUUCACCCUAUCCUCGUUGAUUCUGUAAAUUCGAGUUGUGGCCACCAGGUCGUAACAGUAUGUCACAGAAAGCACUUUGUUUCUCCAACUUCCAGUAGCUUCAGAAAUGUAACCACGCGUGGAUUAUUAGCGAUUUUUCUUUCCUUCUUCCCUCUGGUUUUCCUGUUUCCGAAGAAGAGCUAUGUUCGAAACAUAAAACAUUAUUUUCCUUCUCUGAGGAUCAUUAAUAUAUCGCUUGUCUACGUCCUCUCCCGCCCCACUUUUUUGUUCUUUCAAUUAACUAUGUACAAAGGCGUGACUGUGUAGUAAUCAAUUUGCGUCCCAGCAACAUGGUUCUGGGUUCAGUCUCAUUGCAUGGGUCCUUGACAAGUAUCUUCUACCACAACCUCAGAGCGAACAAUGCCUUGUGAGUGGAUUCGGUGAACGGAAACACGUGUUGUAUGUGUCUCUCACCACUGCUUCACAUCUGGUAUAGUUUCUUUAUGUCCCCGUAACUUAGCAGGAAUACUUUUAUGUGAAAAGUUAGGAAAGCACUAGUUUAAGAAAAUGUUGACAGUAGGCGCAGGAAUAGCUAUGUGGUAAAUAGCUUGCUUACCAACCAGAUGGUUCCGGGUUCAGUCCUACUGCGUGGCACUUUGGGCAAGUAUCUUCCUAUUUCUUUACUACUCACAAGGGGCUAAACACAGAAAGGACAGACGGAUUAAGUAGAUUAUAUCGACUCCAUUGCGUAACUGGUACUUAUUUAAUCGACCCCGAAAGGAUGAAAGGCAAAGUCGACCUCGGCGGAAUUGGUACUC